UGGGGAAUCUUGCGCAAUGGGCGAAAGCCUGACGCAGCGACGCCGCGUGAGUGAUGAAGGCCUUCGGGUUGUAAAGCUCUGUGGGGAGGAACGAAUAAGGCAUGGCUAAUAUCCAUGGUGAUGACGGUACCUCCUUAGCAAGCACCGGCUAACUCUGUGCCAGCAGCCGCGGUAAGACAGAGGGUGCAAACGUUGUUCGGAAUCACUGGGCGUAAAGCGUGUGUAGGCGGUCUUAUAAGUCGGAUGUGAAAGCCCCGGGCUCAACCCGGGAAGUGCACCCGAUACUGUAGGACUAGAGUACUGGAGAGGUUGGUGGAAUUCUCGGUGUAGAGGUGAAAUUCGUAGAUAUCGAGAGGAACACCGGUGGCGAAGGCGGCCAACUGGACAGAUACUGACGCUGAGACACGAAAGCGUGGGGAGCAAACAGGAUUAGAUACCCGUGUAGUCC
rnacentral:rRNA from 1 species